UACGUAGGGUGCGAGCGUUAAUCGGAAUUACUGGGCGUAAAGCGUACGUAGGCGGCUUUGUAAGUUAGAGGUGAAAGCCCGGGGCUCAACUCCGGAACUGCCUUUAAGACUGCAUCGCUAGAAUCCGGGAGAGGUGAGUGGAAUUCCGAGUGUAGAGGUGAAAUUCGUAGAUAUUCGGAAGAACACCAGUGGCGAAGGCGGCUCACUGGACCGGCAUUGACGCUGAGGUACGAAAGCGUGGGGAGCAAACAGG
rnacentral:rRNA from 1 species